rnacentral:rRNA from 1 species
AGCAGCAGGCGCGAAAACUUUACAAUGCGAGCAAUCGUGAUAAGGAAACCCUGAGUGCCUGUCAAUGCAGGCUGUUCUGGUGUCUAACACACACCAGGAGAAAGGGCGGGGCAAGACCGGUGCAGCCGCCGCGGUAAUUC